UACAGAGGUCUCAAGCGUUGUUCGGAUUCAUUGGGCGUAAAGGGUGUGUAGGUGGCGCCGUAAGUCGGGUGUGAAAUUUCGGAGCUUAACUCCGAAACUGCAUUCGAUACUGCGGUGCUUGAGGACUGGAGAGGAGACUGGAAUUCAUGGUGUAGCAGUGAAAAUGCGUAGAGAUCAUGAGGAAGACCAGUGGCGAAGGCGGGGUCUCUGGACAGUUCCUGACGCUGAGGCACGAAGGCCAGGGGGAGCAAAACGGGG
rnacentral:rRNA from 1 species